UCACUUUAUAAAGCGCCAGAACUUAGCUAUAAGAAAUACUUUAUAAAAUUUCUAAGUUGACGAGGACAGAGUUUAUCGAAUUAUCGGCGGAUGCUCUGCGGUGAAUUUACCAUCGUAAAAGUUUCUUUAAAACAAGGGAGUAAUUCUUUGGACAAAGGGAAAACUUAAGUAAAUAU
rnacentral:ncRNA from 1 species